AGUGAACGUUGGCGGCGUGGAUUAGGCAUGCAAGUCGUGCGGGAGUAGCAAUACUCUAGCGGCGAAAGGGAGAGUAACACGUGGAUACCAACCCUCGGGACUGGGAUAGCUACGGGAAACUGUAGGUAAUACCAGAUGACGUCUCCGGACCAAAGGUGUGAUUCCGCCCGAGGACGGGUCCGCGUUCUAUUAGCUAGUUGGUAGGGUAACGGCCUACCAAGGCCAAGAUGGAUACGGGGUGUGAGAGCAUGCCCCCGCUCACUGGGACUGAGAUACUGCCCAGACACCUACGGGUGGCUGCAGUCGAGGAUCUUCGGCAAUGGGCGCAAGCCUGACCGAGCGACGCCGCGUGCGAGAUGAAGGCCUUCGGGUUGUAAAUCGCUGUCAGUGGGGAGGAAAUGCCGGUGGGUUCUCCCAUCGGUUUGACCUAUCCGCAGAGGAAGGACGGGCUAAGUUCGUGCCAGCCGCCGCGGUAAGAC
rnacentral:rRNA from 1 species